UUACUCAAAAUCCAAAUUUUCUCCCUCACGCAAUAUGUUCUCUCUCCCUCCCUCUCUGCCGUUUCCUUCUCCCAAAUUUCUCCGGCGAACAUCGCCGGUUCUCGUCGACGCCGGCGCGGCGAGGCUGGCGUCUCUCUCCCCUCCUCCUUUCUUUCUUUUUUCUUUCCCUUAAUUUAAAUUAGUAACUACCUAGGGUUUUUAAAUCUUGUUCAAUCCUGUUCUCCGACGAGUUCCACCGCGCCGCUGCCGUGCUUGUCGCAUCGCCACUCCUCCAUCUCAGAUCUGGGAAUUUCGUUUCCAACGCUCCACUCACCGCCGUCCAGCAACUCGUCCCGCCUCCCCACCGUCUAUCCACUGCUGCGCCUGGCCUCGCCGUCGCCGUCGAUUGCAGCGCCUAGCCUCGCCGCGCUGCUGCGCCUCUCCUCGCUGCGCCGUGUAUUGCUACUCCUCGCCUCGCCGCACUGUCGAUUGCUGCGCCUCGACUCGCCAUCGAUUGCUGCCACCCAUUGAGAUCUCUAAAUCCUGACGCCUCACCCCCCUCGUCGCUCGACUGCACCUCCGCCUCAUUGUCUACGCUAUCACCAGGUACACCAUUUUCGACAGCACCAAACGGAGCAGCUUAUUAGAAAUCUUAGUUCUUAGCUGUGGGAGGUAUAUUCAACCGGUAAAUCCUGAACUUCGUAGCUUCAUUCGUUCAACUGGCAUGAAACUAGAAGUAGUUGACUCUGUAAGUUCCUUAUACCUCUCUCUCAUCACAAAACAUGUAUUUUGCUUGACUUGGUGAAAAAAUUAUAUGUUUUAAUUC